rnacentral:rRNA from 1 species
GGAUCAAUAUGUCGGUCGUGCCUUCGGUACGUACUGGUAUCAUUGGUCUCUCCUUUCUGACGAACCAUGAUGUCAUUAAUUUGAUGUCGUGGAGAAUCAGGACUGUUACUUUGAAAAAAUUAGAGUGUUUAAAGCAGGCAUUAGCUUGAAUACAUUAGCAUGGAAUAAUGAAAUAGGACGUUUGAUCCUAUUUUGUUGGUUUCUAGGAUUGACGUA